AGAUCAAAUUUAUUGACUCAACCUGGGUUCCUUUUCUCUAUUUUCAGAUUUGAAUUGUAUAACUAUGCAUGUGCUCUUGUCAAAAAGGAAGACCAUGUCAGUGUGCAAAAUGGAAGGAAAGUCCAUUCUGUUACUGGACAACAUAUAUCUCAUCAAAACAAUAGAAAAUUACAAGAGCAAGACUGUUUCCGUUCCAUGUGAUCCAAACAAUUUGAUGCCAGUACGUAUACAAGGAGAAGGACCAUUUUCAGCUAUGUUUUAGAUUUAAAUUGUCUGAUAAAAAAAUGUUUCUUCUUAGCCUUCCUCUUCUGUGAGUUUGUGCUUAAAGUUUUUCUAAAUAUUGGGUACUCAAGACUUCAAUUAUUCAG
rnacentral:lncRNA from 1 species